rnacentral:rRNA from 1 species
CACGUAGGCACCAAGCGUUGUCCGGAUUUAUUGGGCGUAAAGAGCUCGUAGGCGGUUCAGUAAGUCGGGUGUGAAAACUUUGGGCUUAACCCAAAGCGUGCAUCCGAUACUGCUGUGACUUGAGUUCGGUAGGGGAGUGGGGAAUUCCUAGUGUAGCGGUGAAAUGCGCAGAUAUUAGGAGGAACACCGGUGGCGAAGGCGCCACUCUGGGCCGAAACUGACGCUGAGGAGCGAAAGCAUGGGCAGCAAACAGG